CAUCAUCUUAUCAAAGCAUGUCAUUAGGUAAUUACAUAAGCAUUUCACCUAGCAUAUAUAUGGCAUAUGCUAUCAUGUGACUAAUACAAGAAGGAGAGUGUAUGAUAGAUGGCCACUUAUCUUGGUUGUUGCUUCGUUGAAUUACAAAUAAUUUAUGCUAAAUUCAUACAACAAAUAGUAGUUGUGCUAAGAAGAGGAAAAGGAGGAAGACC
rnacentral:lncRNA from 1 species